CCUACGGGGGGCUGCAGUGGGGAAUAUUGGACAAUGGGGGGAACCCUGAUCCAGCCAUGCCGCGUGUGUGAAGAAGGCCCUCGGGUUGUAAAGCACUUUCAGUGAGGAAGAACGCCUGGUGGUUAAUACCCAUCAGGAAAGACAUCACUCACAGAAGAAGCACCGGCUAACUCCGUGCCAGCAGCCGCGGUAAUACGGAGGGUGCGAGCGUUAAUCGGAAUUACUGGGCGUAAAGCGCGCGUAGGUGGCUUGAUAAGCCGGUUGUGAAAGCCCCGGGCUCAACCUGGGAACGGCAUCCGGAACUGUCAAGCUAGAGGGCAGGAGAGGAAGGUAGAAUUCCCGGUGUAGCGGUGAAAUGCGUAGAGAUCGGGAGGAAUACCAGUGGCGAAGGCGGCCUUCUGGACUGACACUGACACUGAGGUGCGAAAGCGUGGGUAGCAAACAGGAUUAGAUACCCUGGUAGUC
rnacentral:rRNA from 1 species